rnacentral:snRNA from 1 species
AUUGAAAUUUAUAGUGCUAUUUGU